rnacentral:rRNA from 1 species
CCCCUAGAUGUUCUGGGCCGCACGCGCGCUACACUGAACAGUUCAACAAGUCUUAACCUUGGCCGAUAGGUCUGGUUAAUCUUUGAACGCUGUUCGUGAUUGGGAUAGACCUUUGCAAUUAUGGGUCUUCAACGAGGAAUUCCUAGUAAACGCAAGUCAUCAGCUUGCAUUGAUUACGUCCCUGCCCUUUGUACACACCGCCCGUCGCACCUACCGAUUGAAUGGUCCGGUGAAAUCUCGGGACGGCGGCUUGGUCGCUUGCGUCCGACUGCUGAAACUUGAUUAAACCAUAUCAUUUAGAGGAAGGUGAAGUCGUAACA